UACGGGGGGAGCAAGCGUUGUUCGGAUUUACUGGGCGUAAAGGGCGCGUAGGCGGCCAGCACAAGUCAGUUGUGAAAUCUCCGAGCUUAACUCGGAAAGGUCAACUGAUACUGUGCGGCUAGAGUGCAGAAGGGGCAACUGGAAUUCUUGGUGUAGCGGUGAAAUGCGUAGAUAUCAAGAGGAACACCUGCGGCGAAGGCGGGUUGCUGGGCUGACACUGACGCUGAGGCGCGAAAGCUAGGGGAGCGAACGGG
rnacentral:rRNA from 1 species